rnacentral:rRNA from 1 species
CAGUCGCCGCGGGAAUACGUGGGUGGCAAGCGUUGUCCGGAUUUAUUGGGCGUAAAGCGAGCGCAGGCGGUCAAUUAAGUCUGAUGUGAAAGCCCCCGGCUCAACCGGGGAGGGUCAUUGGAAACUGGUUGACUUGAGUGCAGAAGAGGAGAGUGGAAUUCCAUGUGUAGCGGUGAAAUGCGUAGAUAUAUGGAGGAACACCAGUGGCGAAGGCGACUCUCUGGUCUGUAACUGACGCUGAGGCUCGAAAGCGUGGGUAGCAAACAGGAUUAGAUACCCCAGUAGUCCCUGUCUCUUAUAC